rnacentral:rRNA from 1 species
GGGCAGCAUGGUCUUAGCUUGCUAAGGCCGAUGGCGACCGGCGCACGGGUGAGUAACACGUAUCCAACCUGCCGUCUACUCUUGGACAGCCUUCUGAAAGGAAGAUUAAUACAAGAUGGCAUCAUGAGUCCGCAUGUUCACAUGAUUAAAGGUAUUCCGGUAGACGAUGGGGAUGCGUUCCAUUAGAUAGUAGGCGGGGUAACGGCCCACCUAGUCUUCGAUGGAUAGGGGUUCUGAGAGGAAGGUCCCCCACAUUGGAACUGAGACACGGUCCAAACUCCUACGGGAGGCAGCAGUGAGGAAUAUUGGUCAAUGGGCGAGAGCCUGAACCAGCCAAGUAGCGUGAAGGAUGACUGCCCUAUGGGUUGUAAACUUCUUUUAUAAAGGAAUAAAGUCGGGUAUGGAUACCCGUUUGCAUGUACUUUAUGAAUAAGGAUCGGCUAACUCCGUGCCAGCAGCCGCGGUAAUACGGAGGAUCCGAGCGUUAUCCGGAUUUAUUGGGUUUAAAGGGAGCGUAGAUGGAUGUUUAAGUCAGUUGUGAAAGUUUGCGGCUCAACCGUAAAAUUGCAGUUGAUACUGGAUAUCUUGAGUGCAGUUGAGGCAGGCGGAAUUCGUGGUGUAGCGGUGAAAUGCUUAGAUAUCACGAAGAACUCCGAUUGCGAAGGCAGCCUGCUAAGCUGCA